rnacentral:rRNA from 1 species
GAUGAACGCUGGCGGCGUGCCUAAUACAUGCAAGUCGAGCGAACAGACGAGGAGCUUGCUCCUCUGACGUUAGCGGCGGACGGGUGAGUAACACGUGGAUAACCUACCUAUAAGACUGGGAUAACUUCGGGAAACCGGAGCUAAUACCGGAUAAUAUAUUGAACCGCAUGGUUCAAUAGUGAAAGACGGUUUUGCUGUCACUUAUAGAUGAAUCCGCGCCGCAUUAGCUAGUUGGUAAGGUAACGGCUUACCAAGGCAACGAUGCGUAGCCGACCUGAGAGGGUGAUCGGCCACACGGGAACUGAGACACGGUCCAGACUCCUACGGGAGGCAGCAGUAGGGAAUCUUCCGCAAUGGGCGAAAGCCUGACGGAGCAACGCCGCGUGAGUGAUGAAGGUCUUCGGAUCGUAAAACUCUGUUAUUAGGGAAGAACAAAUGUGUAAGUAACUAUGCACGUCUUGACGGUACCUAAUCAGAAAGCCACGGCUAACUACGUG